rnacentral:lncRNA from 10 species
AUUUAUCGUGUGCUUUAUUUCUGUUGUUAUCACAUUGUAAUAUGUAAUGAAAUAAUUAUAUAACUCACUGUAAUGUAGAAUCAGUGGGAGCCCCUGGCUUGUUUUCCUGCAACUAGAAGGUCCCAUCUAGGGGUGGUAGGAGACAGUGACAGAUUUCCAGGCAUUAGAUUCUCAUAAAGAGCCUGCCAUUAAUCUACAGCAUCAGUGUUACGCUGUAGAAUGGUUCAGAAUCUUAGCCACCGAGAUCCCUCGCAUGCGCAGUUCACAGUGUGGUUCAUGCUCCUAUGAGAGCCUAAUGCUGCCGCUGAUCUGACAGGAGGCGGAGCUCAGGUGGUGAUGCUGGCUGGCCCACACUCACCUCCUGCUGUGCAGCCCGGUUCCUAACAGAUACCAGUCCGUGGCCCUGGGGGUUAGGGACCCCCGUCUUACAGCAUCCAGCGGGGCCAGGCACUUGGUUAAGUAGAUCCUUGAUGACUGAAACGUGACAAUGCUGAAAUGGCUGUGGAGUACUGUUUGGAGUUUGUGGGGGUGGGGUUUGUAAACUGGAGAACUUUAUGUUAGAGUUUCUUAUUAUUGACAUUUGAGGCUAAAUAAUUCUUUGUUGUCUGAGUCUCUCCUCCACGGUGUAGUAUGUUUCGCAGCACCUCUGGCCUCUACCCUCCACGUGCCAGUAGCACCUUCCCCAAGUUUGUUGUCCUCACAGACAACCAAAAAUGUCUUCUCUACUCACUCCCAAAUGUCCUGGGGGGGCAAAAUCACUCACUGCGGAGAACCAUGGCAUUAGGGUGAUGGAGUAGAAAGCCUGCUCUACUCAGAAGGACUUCUAAGUGCCAGAAGGUGCAGGUCUGCUCUCUGGGGCCACUCAGUGCUUUGAAGGACACCUGAUUUAUUUUGGAGAUGGACACUUAACUGCUGAAUACACUGGCAUGGGUGGGUGGUCCCAUCGAGAGUUUUUCUCAAAGGUUUUCAAUGACUCCUCUUGUGUUCUCUGGCCUAUCCUACUCCAGCUCUCAAUUCUGCUAGGCUUGAGUUCCAGCGUCAGAGCCUUUCUGAGCCUCUCUUCUCAGUCUUAGCCUCCCCUCCUUCCCUCUCUCUCCACCCACCUUCUGGCCGUCUGGGAAGCUUCAGCUUCAUCCUGCUUCCCCAGCACUGCUCCUCCAUCCACCUUUUUUUCUUCCAUAGAUUCGUUAAAAACAUCUUGUCUGAAGGCAGUUCUCCCCUUUCUACAUCACCAUGGGUUUUUUUUGCAGAAUUUUCUUCCAUUACAAUCACUGAUUGUAAUCAAUUCUCUUUCCCCCAGGUCUCUGCCUCCUCUCUGUCAGGAAGGAGAGAGAGAAGUUAACCACACAGAACUGACCACCCUCUUUACCCAGAAGGAGCUGAUCAGCCAUCUUUAGGCAGAAGGCUUCCUCCAGCUGCACCCAGAUUCCCCUUCUGUCUCCCACAGCACCCUGGGCUUACUUCUCCAGAUCAUGUAACACCCUGUGCUAAGAUUGUUUAUCUCUUGUCUGACUUCUUGAGUGGAUCAUAAGCUCUUUGAAUGCAGGCAUUGUGUCUUCUCACUCGCAACAUCUCCAGUGUUGAGGACAGAAGUGCCCACAGUGCAUAGGAUAUACUCAAUAAAGGAUUAUCAAAUGUCAUGGAAAUAAGGCCUUAAUUUAAAUUCAGUGGGAAGAGAUUUUCUUGAACUUUAAGAAGACUUGGGGACAAAAUUUGAACUUCUUGUAUGUGUUUCUCCUCAAAGAGCAUAGCUCUGCCUUAAUUCUUCUGAAUCUGACAUCGAGCCUCUGGAGUUUACUAGACUCUUAGGCUGGGAAGCUCUUGGUCCAUUUUUGAUCCACUGCAUUCUGCAGUGAGAUGAAGCCCAUUCCUCUGACAUCCCACUUGGUGUGCCAUGCUGAUAAACCCAUAACACUGAUGCUGUAGAUUAAUGGCAUGCCUUCACUUAUGAACACUUUUUCCCCAUGGUGACUAAUGGCAUUUUGAUGGUGUCUCCUUAGACAGCUGCCUAAAUAUAAAGCAGUAUGAGCUAAAAGAAUAAAUUGAAAAUGUCAGUCGUUUUGUGUAAUCCUUCCAUAAUAUUAUCUGGGAGCCCAGCCUAGCUUUAUGGAAAUCAUUCAGUAGAAUCAGACAAGAUUUUUCCUACAGCACUUUUAUGUUUGCAAAACCAUCAUCAUUGUCAGCUUUAAUUAAUAUUUAUUUCUGUGUAUCACACCUCAUGUUAAUAACUCUCCUCCAGGACUAUUAACAAAAUCCAGAACUGUUAUUUUUCAAUAGAGGAAGCGGAGGUAUACACAGAGGUUUGACAGCUUGCUUAAGGCUACAGGAUAAACUCAGAGUCAAGCUGAGACCAGGAGGCACAGAUCUUCAUCUCCCUGAGAAGGGCGGCUGCUCUAGGGUCAGCUUUGGGACAUAUGCCUCACCUUUGUGUGCCCAUCAGACAAAGUGAGCCACCUGGUAGCUAUGCCUGGACAUGGUAAGAAGCACGCUUUUGAAAUGAAGAGGGAGCCAUCUCAUUUUCCUGGCAUAUGUCACAUCUCUUACUGAAGGGAGAGACCCAUAGCUGCCUGUAUUGUCCGUUGGGGCAUGUCACGGUCUAGAGACAUAUGAAAGACAAAAAAGCUCACUUGUCAUCUGCCUUUCAGUCUAGGAGAGACAGCCCGAGACUGCUGCCGUGGUGGCUGUGAGACGCUGUGUCACAUAUUAAUUAGGAGGAGCAUAUGUAGCAUUUCUAAGCCAGGGGCCAUUUGUGGCGGCAGCAGCCACGCAGGAGGCAGGGAGUGCAGCUAGUAGCUAAAUGGAGGGUUUAGGAUGCAGGUUCUCGGCUCAGACACCGGGAAUGAAUCCGUUAAGAGAAUGUUGCGGCCCUCCAGGCCCCGCUCCUCCUGCCUCGCAGGUGCAGUCACUUGCUGCCCUGGGUUCCCGCGCAACCAGAAGCUUCCUGGGCCCAGCGAAAGUUCUCAUCCCCUGCUCUGUAGCCCUUGAGACGCGCGGGAGGGUUGGAAAAGCCGAGCCGAUUGUGGGUGGCAGGCCUCCACAGAGAUCGAUUUGAAGGCAGAAGCUGAACUCAUCAUACCUCUUUAGAGAAGAAGUAGUAACGUGCCCUUUUCGCUCAACAAAAACCUGGGCAAGGCCAAGGGAAAGGAUAGCAUGCCCCAUGCGGUGAGCAAGGGCGCGUGCGCAGAGUAGCCCGGCCCAACACUCACCUGGAAAUGCGGCUGGGCCAGGGUACAAAUCACAGUCUCUCUUCCAUCCCCGCCCCUGCCACCCACUUCCCUCCUCCGACUUGGCUUUCUGCGAGUGCGCGUGAGGAGAGACUUAUCCAAGGUCAGGGACAGAAGUCAGAAGAUCCUGAUGGUUGCCUGCUCCUUACUAACUGUGUAGCCUUUGGUGCCAUGUUGUGAGGAAACCCAGAUCACAUUAAGAGGCCACGAGUAAGUGUUCCAAACGACAGACCCUGCUAAGGUCUCAGCUGACAGCCAGCAUCAACUGCCAGACAACACACAGGACACGGUGGGGAUGCAGCAUCUUGGACCUCAUCCGCCUGUGCUCUAAUUCAAAGACAAAUAUGUUUCCCAACUUGCCCAAGGCUCUGGCAGGGAAAACUCAGAUCCCCAAACUCAGGUCGUUCUAGUGCAGCAAUAACCAGCUGGGUUUUCAGCAACUUGGAUGGAGCCAUCUGUGUUCCCAGCCCACAUAAAAAUAUGCACAAGAAGGGUGCAAAUCAGCAAGUCCACAGCUUCCAGAGGCCCCAGCUGGGAUGUGCCCUCCCUUUGGGGACUAAUGAAAGGUAAAUCCAGUGUCAAAAGACAGAGGGCCAGCAGCAAGACUAUGGAGCUAAGUGAGUCCAGACUCUGGUCCCUUUUCUGACUUUGCCUGAAAUAGAGCCCAUCUGGCUCCCUGGCCACUGUGCUUGUGUGAAGGGCACUGCAGUGCAUGCUGAAUGCCUGGAAAAUUACCAGAGGUCUCCUGCCUCUCUCUCUGGGGGCACCAGGAACUGGCCACAUAGGAACUCUCUUCUCUGAUGCUCUGCAUUCCUCUGACUGCCUGGUCAACCCUUAAGCUUUCACAUAAUGAGCCUGGUGAGCCCAGGUGGUCAGGAAUAGAGGGGCUUUUUGUGUCUUGGUCUUAAAGAAGGGAGCCCCUCAGAUUUUCCCACAUACUCCCCCUUCCUUUCCUACCACUCCACAUCACAGAAGGGAAUUUAGAGUCGUCUUGGCUCUCCGGCUAAGACAGAGGACAGUAGAUUCCACAUGAAAAGCCAAAUUAAAUGGGGGUGCUGUUACUCAGCCACCCAGGUGCAGAUGGCUUUUGGCAGCCCAGUACUGGGCGGUGAUUGAGAAGAGUCUGUCUCGAAGUCAUUACAGUUAAUUGUCACAGAGUUACAGACUCAUCUGCAGGCAAAGAGCCAGCUCAAAAUCCCCAGGGAAUUUUCAGAUGGAUUAAUAAACAAAAUGGCAUAUGUGUAAAGCAGCUGAUUCUCUACAAAGAAAUGAUAGUAUUAUUUCUUUACUCUUCAUUCCUGGACCCAGGACUAUUUUACAGUCUCUUUCACAUCUUGGAAGGCAUUUGUCCAACAGGGCUCUGAGUCAGGGGAAAGUAUUUUCUUCCUUGUUUUUAUCUAGUAGCACAGACACUUUCACUAUGGGGUUAGUGCAUUUUUCAUGGCUCCUGGUUCAUCUCAGAAAAAUGCACAUCAACCCAGCCAUCCUGUUGACUAAGUGGCAUUCACUAAGCCAAUAUUCCACAUAGAAACACUGAUGCGGUCUUAACAAUGGUAGAGUAAAUGGCAUCACCACCUGUCUACAUACGUAAAACAGGUGCACAGUUGGGAGCUGGAGCCAUAGCCUCAUUGAUAUCAUAGACAGAAACAGGAUCUGUUCAAUAGCACUGGUACUGAGGAGAAAAGCAGCACAGUACUGGAUCCUGCACAUCACUUCCUUUUCCAGUUUCUUUGAUUUUUCUGCUAAAGUUUAUAUGAUUACUCCUGAGAAGCAGGAAUUGCCUCAGAAAGUUAUCCUGCUCUUUGGCAUAACCGCCCUGCUGGCU